UACAGAGGUCUCAAGCGUUGUUCGGAUUCAUUGGGCGUAAAGGGUGCGUAGGCGGCGCGGUAAGUCGGGGUGUGAAAUCAUUGGAGCUUAACUCCGAAACUGCAUUCGAUACUGCCGUGCUUGAGGACUGGAGAGGAGACUGGAAUUUACGGUGUGCGGUGAAAUGCGUAGAUAUCGUAAGGAAGACCAGUGGCGAAAGGCGGGGUCUCUGGACAGUUCCUGACGCUGAGGCACGGAAGGCCAGGGGAGCAAACGGG
rnacentral:rRNA from 1 species